UACGUAGGGGGCAAGCGUUGUCCGGAAUCAUUGGGCGUAAAGCGCGUGUAGGCGGUUCGGUAAGUCUGCUGUGAAAGUCCAGGGCUCAACCCUGGGAUGCCGGUGGAUACUGUCGGACUAGAGUACGGAAGAGGCGAGUGGAAUUCCCGGUGUAGCGGUGAAAUGCGCAGAUAUCGGGAGGAACACCAAUUGCGAAGGCAGCUCGCCGGGACGUUACUGACGCUGAGACGCGAAAGCGUGGGGAGCAACAGG
rnacentral:rRNA from 1 species